AUACGGAGGAUGCGAGCGUUAUCCGGAUUUAUUAGGUUUAAAGGGUGUGUAGGCGGUAUUUUAAGUCAGUGGUGAAAUCUCGGAGCUUAACUUCGAAACUGCCAUUGAUACUGGAAUACUUGAGUAUAGUUGAGGUAGGCGGAAUAUGUAAUGUAGCGGUGAAAUGCAUAGAUACUACAUAGAACACCGAUUGCGAAGGCAGCUUACUAAACUAUUACUGACGCUGAUGCACGAAAGCGUGGGGAGCGAACAGGAUUAGAUACCCUAGUAGUCC
rnacentral:rRNA from 1 species